GUACACAGUUGUAUAUCUUAGUUGCACGUCCUUCUUGUUGUGGGUUGUGGGACACUGCCUCAACGUGGCCUGACGAGCGGUGCCCUGUCUGCGCCCAGGAUCUGAACCCUGGGACGCCGCAGCAGAGCGUGCAAACUUAACCACUCGGCCAUGGAGCUGGCCCCUCUCUUUUAAAUACCUACUCCUAUAAAACUCACCCUUGGAUGUUAAUACACAGCUCAGUUGCCUGUUUAGUGUCAUUCACUCUGCAAUGACAGUGCAGUGUUUGUUCCAAUUUGAACAUUUGCUUGCUUGCUAAUUUCAAAAAGAGGUAAACAUCUGGGAAGUCAGUUUCUAUUUUUACAAAAGAAUUUAGAGAGAGAGAUUAUAAAAUGACUUCUUUUCAAAUGGACUGUAGAACUCUAAUACUGCCCAAGAGAUCAUGAAAUUCCAAUUGUACAUGAGCCCAAAAGGCAGAACAAUGGCCCCCACCAAUGUCUGUCUCCGGAGAGGUCCCUCUUCUCACCAAGAUGCCCCUAGAGACCACCAGGCUCACAAAGUUCCCUACUACGAGGCCAGUGUGCUUAGUUUACCAUCACUACCUCUUCAGUCAUGCAAAAUCUCCUGUGUAAAAUAUCAUCCAGCAUGGCCUGCCAAGCGGUGCCAUGUCCACACCUGGGAUCUGAAGCGGCAGGCCCUGGGUCGCUAGAAGUGGAUCCUGCGAACUUAACCGCUGCGCCACAGGGCCGGCCCCAUGUCUUUCUACUUCUGAUGCUACGUGGUUUCCUCCUCUACCCAAUGUCUUUCCCACCUGACAAAUAUCAGUUUAUUUUUUGACUCUCAGCUCAAGCAUCGUCUCCUCUGUGAAGUAUCUCCUGAUGGUCUUAAGCAGAAUUCCAAAUUCUUCCUUUGUGUCUUCAGUGUAAGACAAUGACUAUUUUUUGAAUGAACCCUAGUGAGAACUAAUUACUUUGGCAGUUUAGUUUUCCUGGAUCUGUUUAAUAUCAAAAAGGAUAUCAAAUUUAAUGUGGAUGCAAAUCUAUUUGUCCUGCUUCCAAGAGAGUAUCUACAUGGAGAUGGAGUUGUUGGGAAUUAGAAAACAUGAAGAGACAAUUUAAGAAAAAUGCUAAAAAUCUGAUUUUUUUAGGAUAGGCUUUCUUCAUUUUCAUUUCAGCAUUAUCUUUAUAUAUUCGUCUAAGGCAACAAACCUGUUUUAAUUAAAGAUCUGAAGAGAUUCAUCAUGGAUAAGAGAAGGGAAAAAAAGGUGAAAAAUGCUCAUUAGACUAAGAGGUACUCAAGACCUAGAUAGAAUUCUGACAACAGAAUUAUUAUUUUCUUUAAAGAUUUCUGCUCAGAGUGACCCUUAUGAACAAUAACAAUGUGCAAUUCCCCCACACUCUUCUUGGAUCCUUUCUAAAUAGUUCUCUAUCUAGAUGCCAGAAGCAUCUAUUAGAACACAUACUCAUAAGUUUAGUUCUUCAGCUUAUGUGCAUUCACCUACUCAUGUGGUGUGGUUAUGAACAGUGCAGUUAUAAACAUGUAGUUAUGAAUGAAUCACUUUCAAAUAGGCAAAUAUAGAUCAGCAGUUGGGCAGGACUAUGAUGCAAUUCUCCUGAGGAAGAGAAAAGUGAUGAAUUAUAUUCCCUGUGGUCAAUACAACGUAAUCUAUCUACUUUUAUUAAAAAAAAAAUUGGUUUGAAGAUGGGAUAUAAAAAAAUAAAUCCAAGGCCCCUUGACCUCUACUCCCUACUCCCUGAAUCUUUGUGAUGUCUGUUCCUAUCCCACAGAGCUUGACAGCAGAAAUAUCACUGUCUGGCUGCCUUUCAAGCCUAAGUUCGUAACAAACAGGUCAAGAAACGCCAUCACAUAACAUAUAAUUUUUUUUCUGGCUUUGAAUGGAUUCUAAAAUUGAAUAUAUUGAUGGUGGGAAGAAGAAGUCAUAACCAAUUUUAGGACAACAUUUCAAGUAUAUUCAGACACUCAUAUCCAUUUCAUUAAGCUGAAGAAGAAAGGUAUAAAUGGGUUUUCCAACAAGAGCUGAUCUAAAUAAUUAAACUGUUUGGACCCAAGUAUUUUUUCACAUGUAAUUGUCCUUUAAUUGUAGAAAGCACCCCUAGUGGUAGUCGAUUUUGAUGAGCUAAUUGUAGGAAACUCCCAAUAUUUAGAAUCAGCUAUCCAGUCUUCCAUUUGAGUUGGUUCAUAGAAACGGAUUACUGUUAUUAUACCAGCAAACUGUUAUUUUAGACAAAACUGAAUUAAACUGGUUCCUGAU
ensembl:lncRNA